rnacentral:rRNA from 1 species
CCUACGGGAGGCUUCAGUGAGGAAUAUUGAUCAAUGGGCGCUAGCCUGAACCAGCCAAGUAGCGUGAAGGAUGACUGCCCUAUGGGUUGUAAACUUCUUUUAUAUGGGAAUAAAGUGCAGUAUGUAUACUGCUUUGCAUGUACCUUAUGAAUAAGGAUCGGCUAACUCCGUGCCAGCAGCCGCGGUAAUACGGAGGAUCCGAGCGUUAUCCGGAUUUAUUGGGUUUAAAGGGAGCGUAGGCGGGUUGUUAAGUCAGUUGUGAAAGUUUGCGGCUCAACCGUAAAAUUGCAGUUGAUACUGGCAGCCUUGAGUACAGUAGAGGUAGGCGGAAUGCGUGGUGUAGCGGUGAAAUGCUUAGAUAUCACGAAGAACUCCGAUUGCGAAGGCAGCCUGCUGGACUGUAACUGACGCUGAUGCUCGAAAGUGUGGGUAUCAAACAGGAUUAGAUACCCCUGUAGUC